rnacentral:rRNA from 1 species
CCCUUAGAUGUUCGGAGCUGCACGCGCGCUACACUGAAGGAAGCAGCGUGUUAGAUCACCUGACUUGAAAAAGUUGGGUAAUCCGGUGAAUGUCCUUCGUGAUUGGGAUAGGCACUUGUAAUUAUUUGCCUUGAACGAGGAAUACCUAGUAAGUGCGAGUCAUCAGCUUGCGCUGACUACGUCCCUGCCCCUUGUACACACCGCCCGUCGCUGCCCGGAACUGAGCCGUUUCGAGAAGACUGAGGAUUGCUGACUUGAGGCCUUCACGGGCUUCUAGUCGGUGAAAAUCAAUUUAAUCGCAGCGGCUUGAACCGGGCAAAAGUCGUAACA